AACUCAACCCUACCUUCUCGAGCUCCAUUCACACCCCACACAAGCGAGAGCUUCUUCCUCUCUUUGUCCACACUCUCUCCAUCGCACGAGCUUCUUUCUCUCUCCGUCUUAUUUUGCAAUAUAAAACUGUGCUCCUCUGCUCCCCUCGUCAGCGGUGCUACCGUCCUCCUUUUGACGUUUCUCUUGAGCUCAGAGCCGGCGGCUUCAUUCACACUCCACACAAAUCUAACGAGCUUCUCCCUCUCUCGGUCAAUGAGCUACUUUUUCUCUCCGUCGCACAAGCAUCUUUUGCCGCUGCCGCCGCCGCUCGCGUCGCACGAGCCCCCUCCGCCGCCGCUUUCGUCGCAUCUGCUCCCUUCGUCAUCGUCCCUUGGAGGUUAGAUUUUUAAUCCGCUAAUUAACCGAAACUGAAGCCCUCCGUUUUUCUUCGCUUAGAGGAGCUUAAUUUGGGAAGGGAUAGGAUAAAAAUAUUGCAACAUGAGAUUUCAUGCAGAUCUACUUCAAUAAAAACAAAUGCCCUAAAAGCUGGUAGUAACGAUAAAGGAAGACAAUAUAAUAUGGUGUUGUCUAUAGUGUUGAAGGGAAAAGGGAAGAGUUCUUGGAACAGCUUUUGAGUUCUAGGAACAGAUCAAGAUCAAGGAGUAGAAAAAAGAGAUAUUCAUCUGAGGAAUGCUCAUCAUCUUCUUCAGAUGUUAGUAAGGAUUUCAAAGAUCGAAAAGGGGAGGCAUCAAAAGACAAAUAGAAAAUACGGGAGUAAAAAGAGCAAGGUAAAAGGUGAAGCUGCAAAUAUUGCAGCAGAUUCUAUAAAUGAGAAUGAAAUUUCAAGAAAAGAAAUGGGAUUGGAUUGGAUGCUUAGGCCUGAGAGUAAGGGACCAACAGUUUCAGUUAUAGUGGAGAAAUUGCCAGAGGAAGAUCCUGUUGAGGAGUGUGAUAGUGAUCCUUCUAAGAGAAUAUGAUUAUGGAUUAUUCUUUCCCUGGUAAGGUUGUUGGUAUUUUGAAGGGCAUAAUCCUAGUGGGCAUUGCUUAGUUACAUCUAAAUUAGUAGAUCCUAUACCACCUACCUCUGUUGCUGAUGAUAAGGAUUUGAAAUCCAGCAAAGAAGCUAGCUAUUGAUAAAAGUCAACCAAUUGAUAUUACUUCUAAAAAGACAGAGUUGUCCAUGGUUGCUUCAGAACAAUGCAAUUUCCGGUCAGAUUCCUACAGCAAUUGGAAGCCUAGAAAAGCUUCAGACACUUGAUCUCUCCAAUAACGAUUUUAAUGGUGAGAUAUCGAAUUCUUUGGGAGGCCUCAAGAACCUGAAUUAUUUAAAAUUCAAUCCAAAUAGCAGGACUAUGUAAAUUACCGAUUAAAUCCAUUCGAAGCCAAAAGGAUGGAUAUUGUUGCUAAGAAGUAAGAAAUGUUAUGAAGGUAAAAUUUUGGUUAAAAUGAAGGCUUAUGUGACACAAGAUGACAACUUUAUUGGGACACUAACAGUGAGAGAGGUGAUUUCAUACUCUGCUCAGUUGCGGCUACCGGACAAGAUGGCGCCGUCGGAUAAGGAAGCACUUGUUGAGAGCACUAUAGUGGCAAUGGGGCUUUAGGAUUGUGGAGACACUGUGAUUGGGAACUGGCACUUGAGAGGGAUAAGUGGUGGAGAAAAGAGAAGGGUUAACAUUGUCUUGGAGAUCUUGAUGAGGCCUAGAUUGCUCUUCCUUGAUGAACCUAAAAGUGGACUUGACAGGUUCACAUACCCUUGGUUUUACUUCUUGUUGGGAUCCAAUUGUGCUUGUUUUCAUGCCAAUUCUCCACCACUGGGCCAAUUCUCCACCUGGUACUAAGGAGACUAUUGGACUUUGGCAAGAAACUUUCUUCUCCUGAUGCUCUUCUCAUCAAUGGGCAAAGAGAUUCUGUUGUCUUUACCGGUCAAGCAGGGAAGACUUACAAAUUCAGAGUGUCCAAUGUUGGGUUAACAACAUCAAUCAACUUCAGGAUUCAAGGCCACUCAUUGAAACUGAUUGAAGUUGAAGGUGCUCACACAUUACAGGACACAUAUGAGUCCCUUGAUAUUCAUGUGGGUCAAUCAGUGGUAUAGUUGAACAAUACACUUUAAGUUUAUAUUUUGAAUUAUAGUUGAUGUAUCAACACACUUUAAUGUAUGGUUGUUACUUAUUAUUAUAGUUGAUGUAUCAAUACACUUUGUUUAUGUUUUGAAUCAUAUUGACUUCUUG